UAAGGAAUAUUGGACAAUGGAGGCAACUCUGAUCCAGCCAUGCCGCGUGAAGGAAUAAGGCCCUAUGGGUUGUAAACUUCUUUUAGACGGGACAAAACCCCUUUACGUGUAAAGGGUUGAUGGUACUGUCAGAAUAAGCAUCGGCUAACUUCGUGCCAGCAGCCGCGGUAAUACGAAGGAUGCAAGCGUUAUCCGGAAUUAUUGGGUUUAAAGGGUGCGUAGGCGGACUAAUAAGUCAGUGGUGAAAGCCUGCAGCUUAACUGCAGAAUUGCCAUUGAUACUGUUAGUCUUGAGUACAGUUGAGGUAGGCGGAAUGUGUCAUGUAACGGUGAAAUGCUUAGAUAUGACACAGAACACCGAUUGCGAAGGCAGCUUGCUAAGCUGUAACUGACGCUGAGGCACGAAAGCGUGGGGAGCAAACAG
rnacentral:rRNA from 1 species